rnacentral:rRNA from 1 species
AUUGAACGCUGGCGGAAUGCUUUACACAUGCAAGUCGAACGGCAGCACGGACUUCGGUCUGGUGGCGAGUGGCGAACGGGUGAGUAAUGUAUCGGAACGUGCCCAGUCGUGGGGAAUAACGUAGUGAAAAUUACGCUAAUACCGCAUACGAUCUAUGGAUGAAAGCGGGGGAUCGCAAGACCUCGCGCGAUUGGAGCGGCCGAUAUCAGAUUAGGUAGUUGGUGGGGUAAAGGCCCACCAAGCCAAUGAUCUGUAGCUGGUCUGAGAGGACGACCAGCCACACUGGAACUGAGACACGGUCCAGACUCCUACGGGAGGCAGCAGUGGGGAAUUUUGGACAAUGGGCGAAAGCCUGAUCCAGCCAUUCCGCGUGCAGGAUGAAGGCCCUCGGGUUGUAAACUGCUUUUGUACAGAACGAAAAGGUUUCUACUAAUACUAGGAGCUCAUGACGGUACUGUAAGAAUAAGCACCGGCUAACUACGUGCCAGCAGCCGCGGUAA